CGCCGUAACAGCCUCCCAUGGCACCAACCACCCGAUUCCCUCCAUCGCCGCGCCGUCUCGCGACUCCAAAUCCCCCCCUCCCGUGGUACCGCCGGCAACCGUGCGGCCCACCAAGGAUACUCCAUCCCCGAUCGCGCGCCGCAACUCCUCGCUACCUCCUGCGCACCAGCCCGACCCAUCAGCUCGCCUCCGUAGUUGCCGCCGGCCUGCCUCGCCGCCGCCCCCGCCGCUACUCCAGGGAAUGCGCUCCAUCAAAUCACGCUGUUCUGGGACUCGGCCUCGACGGCCUCCGAGGCAGGGCGCGUGCUGCUUGUCCUCUUCGUUGGCGACGAAGUUGGCGACCUCGGUGUCGCGGCCGCGCUUGCGCCCAGAGGCAGGAACAGCGUCGACAAGCGAGGGGAAGUUGAGGUUGGCCCUAAGCCCAUGGAUGUCGCGCAAGGCGGCAUCGUAGGCGGGCGUGGCAUCCUCGACGGAGGAUAAUGUGCCGAGCCAGACGCGGACAUCCUUGGAAUUAUGGGGAGAAAUUGUCAGGAUAUGGAAAGAGAUACGAUGGUACUGCAGCUGGAGGCAGAAGGCUGACCUGCUUCAAGCACUGUCCUUUGGCGAAAAUCCUUUCUGCUCUAGGAGAACACUAAUCCUUUCCCGGUCAGAAAAGCUCGAGUCUGAGAAGCUCGGGGGCAUAUUAAUGGAACAACUUGCGAAAAUAGAUUCAGUGCUGAGAGAUUUGAGACAGAGGAGAGAUGAGCGAGCGAGUUCUGGGUAGAUGAGAAUGAUCUUAUCCUUAAAGAGACUAAGGGAGUUGAAGUUGCAGGUUGGAGUUAUCCCUGUAUUUGGAGCUUGGAUUUAAGAUGUUCUUGGUUGUGACUGCAAUUGUAGACAAUUGGGAUGCUGACGGUACAAGCUGCAGCAAAACUUGGAGGACAAUCCUCUCGUUCAUUUUGUUGACUCCCCAGAUGCUUGACAAGGCCUUGAAUGUUGCAAUGUGUUCAAAGGAGUAAUCGGGAGAACAUUGGAAGGUUCAGUUUUUGAGACAAAUCCACAUGCUAUGUCUUGGUCUACACUUGCCGGCAACACAAUAGUACUAACACUCAUCGGUACAAUUGACCUAGGACUCAAGUGCACAAUAUGCUAAGGAAAUAUCAGCAAGAAGCCAACAAUAUAUUUAUGUUUCUUCUCAUUUUCUUUUUUUUUAUCAAGGAUACGGCCAUGAGAAGGGCGGGCUUGGUGCAGCAGUAGAGCCUACCGUCUGUAACCGGAAGGUCCCGGGUUCGAGCCCCAGCCUCUGCACAUUUGUGUGGGUAAGACUUGGGGCUUAAAAACAACUCUUCCCCAGACCCCGCACAGUGCGGGAAGCCUACGGCACUGGGUACGCCCUUUUUUUAACGAUACGGCCAUGGAUCCUUGAAAAUUUAUGCCUGCCAUAAUACUUCUUGAGUUUUGUGUUCAAGCAUAAUGUUUCUUGAGUUUUGUGUUCAAGUGCAACUCUACCGGUAUUUAACUGACCUGAUGAUUUAUGUAAUGUUCAUUACAUUAUAUCUGUUCUAUCAUUCAUAUAUUUUCAUUUGAAUAAA